rnacentral:sRNA from 1 species
GAGCGCCAGAUGGGUCUCCGAAGACCGG